GUUUAUGUAGUCUUACUCUUCUUUUCUGCCAUUCAUUAAAUGGAACCAUUGCUACAAAGAAAUUCUUGCUGGGUUCUGUACAUGUGCAUGUUUCAAGAAGAAUUGUGUUUAUAGCAGUCCAGUCAUGAUUACAGAAUUUCCUUACAUUUUAAUAUAUAAUUUGCCUCUCUUUGCUGCAGGUGGAACACAGGAAUGGGGUGGAGGAGGGGGUAGACUGCUUUGGAAUGUCAGUCAAAAGGGUGGGAAAAUAUAAUCGGGGCUGGGGCUAAUGCAAAGCACUUGGUGAACCUGCCUUGGUUAAUGGACAAAGCCAAAAUUUAAGCAGGGAAAUUGAGACUGGAGCUGCCUAGAGGGAAAGCAAAAAGCCUAGUGGUGGGACAAGGAGAGUGCAAAACUGAGGCACGGAGCCAAGAAUGUGGAUACUAGGAGGGGAGUCUGAACAUCAGCAGAUUAGGACCAAUGAAGAGUUGUAGGAAUUGAACCCCAACAAUGAUGUAGAUGUCAGCUGUCACUUGUGAUUUCUUACUAGGGAGUGUAAUGCUUAUACUAGCCAUGAAGGAUUUGUUAGGAAAUGUGACCUAUUAAUUUCUAAGAGACAUUGAGAUAAUUAUGAUCUUUUGUAUAGACUAUGUACUAGUUCUUCUUUCAGGUUUUAUUUUUUUUUUGUUAGUAUGUUUUCAUCUUAGAAUUUUCUUUGCUGUAACUCUUUUCUUAUCCAGAAAUGUUCUUAGUCUCUGAUUAUCCCAUGAACGACUGGUGUUCUUUCCUGCCAUUCAGAUCUUACCUUAAAUUGUCACUUCUACCAAGAAGCUUUCCUGACAACACAAUCUAAAGAAUCUGUUUCGGACUUCCUCCAUAACAUCUCUAAUUUUCAGCAUGGGAUCCAUCUGACAUUUCUUCCCUCUUUCCAUUCUUUCUUCACUUCCUCCUUUCUGCCCACCUUUCCUGAUAGAUUUCAAGUUCCAUGAGAGUUAGAACCUUGACUGUCUGAUGUCCUAUGGUAGCUUCAGCACAGAGGAGAAGGAGCCAUUGAAGAAUACUGUUGUCCUAUCCCAGAAGGAGCAAGCGGACAACACUGAUAUCCUGACCACUAACCAUCCAGCACCACUUAAAGUUUUAAAAAGAAUAACAGAAAGAAAGAAGUGGCUGAAACCUAAAUGCCAUAUGGAGAAGACAGCUAAUUGCCACACUCUCCUCUUUGGUCUUUCCUGGUACGCAGCAUACAAGCCCACAGAUUGAGGACUCUGCACUUGCUGUUCUCUCUGCCUGGAGCUCUAUGGCUCCAGAUAGACUCCUGCCAACUCCUUCGCCUUGUCCAAGUUACCUUCAUUAAAUGUCAGCUUAAAUGUGUGCCUACUUUUUGCCCUACCUAGAAUUGCAAGCACCUCUCACCACUGUGCUCCCAUUCUCCUUAACUUAAGCCACUUUUAUUCUCAUAAUAAAGCCACAUAUUUUUUCUUAUUAUAUCAUAAUCGUACUGUAUAAUUUAUAUUUUAUUACUUUUGUUUGUAUACUUAUUGUAUGUUUCUGUUCACAAGGAUGUAAACCCCAUGAACACAGAGAUCUUUGAUUGUUUUAUUCACUGAUUUAUGCCAAAUGUUUGGAACAAUGCCUGGCACAUAGUAGAUGUUUGAUAAUUUUUUUUUUUUCUGAAUGAAUAAAUACAUUUUAGCCAAAUAUGCUGACUCUGCUUGUUUGGUUAUAUUUAUGUGUGUGUGAAUGUAUGUGCAGAAAAAGAAGAAAUUAGUUAAUACCAAAUCUAUAAAAUGGGAAAAAUAAUGCUUACCUUAUAGUGUUGUUAUGAAACUCAACUAAUAUAAGAUAUGUGAAGGGUCUAGCAUAAAAUG
rnacentral:lncRNA from 1 species